rnacentral:rRNA from 1 species
GGAGGGUGCAAGCGUUGUUCGGAAUUAUUGGGCGUAAAGAGCGUGUAGGCGGUCCGGUAAGUCAGAUGUGUAAGCCCUGGGCUCAACCCAGGAAGUGCAUUUGAAACUACCAGACUUGAGUACGGGAGAGGAGGGGGGAAUUCCCGGUGUAGAGGUGAAAUUCGUAGAUAUCGGGAGGAAUACCAGUGGCGAAGGCGCCCCUCUGGACCGAUACUGACGCUGAGACGCGAAAGCGUGGGGAGCAAACAGGAUUAGAUACCCUGGUAGUCCACGCCGUAAACGAUGAGCACUAGGUGUAGCGGGUAUUGACCCCCCUGCUGUGCCCGUAGCUAACGCAUUAAGUGCUCCGCCUGGGGACUACGGUCGCAAGACUA